UUCGGUGGCUUUAGCGUAGAGGAAACACCCGUACCCAUUCCGAACACGGAAGUUAAGCUCUUCAGCUCCGAUGGUACUGCCUGGGAGGCUGGGUGGGAGAGUAGGUCGCCGCCGAGA
rnacentral:rRNA from 2 species